AUUGAACGCUGGCGGCAGGCCUAACACAUGCAAGUCGAGCGAGCGGCGGACGGGUGAGUAAUGUCUGGGAAACUGCCUGAUGGAGGGGGAUAACUACUGGAAACGGUAGCUAAUAACGCAUACUAUCAGAUGUGCCCAGAUGGGGUGAGCUGGUAGGUGGGGUAACGGCUCACCUAGGCGACGCUCCCUAGCUGGUCUGGGAGGAUGACCAGCCACACGGGAUCGAAGACACGGUCCAGACGCCUACGGUAGGCAGCAUUGGGGAAUAUUGCAGAAUGGGCGCAAGCCUGAGGCAGCCAGGCCGCUUGUGUGAAGAAGGCCUGCGGGUUGUAAAGCACUUUCAGCGGGGAGGCGUUACCCGCAGAAGAAGCACCGGCUAACUCCGUGCCAGCCGCCGCGGUAAUUC
rnacentral:rRNA from 1 species